AACGAACGCUGGCGGCAGGCUUAACACAUGCAAGUCGAGCGCCCCGCAAGGGGAGCGGCAGACGGGUGAGUAACGCGUGGGAAUCUACCCAUCUCUACGGAAUAACGCAUGGAAACGUGUGCUAAUACCGUAUACGUCCUUCAGGAGAAAGAUUUAUCGGAGAUGGAUGAGCCCGCGUUGGAUUAGCUAGUUGGUGGGGUAAAGGCCUACCAAGGCGACGAUCCAUAGCUGGUCUGAGAGGAUGAUCAGCCACACUGGGACUGAGACACGGCCCAGACUCCUACGGGAGGCAGCAGUGGGGAAUAUUGGACAAGGGGCGCAAGCCUGAUCCAGCCAUGCCGCGUGAGUGAUGAAGGCCCUAGGGUUGUAAAGCUCUUUCACCGGUGAAGAUAAUGGCGGUAACCGGAGAAGAAGCCCCGGCUAACUUCGUGCCAGCCGCCGCCGUAAAAC
rnacentral:rRNA from 1 species